AAAUUGGAGAAAUUUAUCACUCAUACACUUCCCAUAGUAUGAAAUCGACAAGGCUUUUUGAAUUAAUGUGAAGGGAGAACCUACGUUGCAUCAUCAUCAUGGAGGACUAAACUUACUGUCCUAGAAAAGGAGCUUCUAGCUAGUCGCUUUUGUUUGAGAAAAGACCAUGAAUUAGGUGGAACACUUUGAGAAGGAUCCGAAAGCUGCAAU
rnacentral:misc_RNA from 1 species